UACGAAGGUGGCAAGCGUUGUUCGGAUUUACUGGGCGUAAAGGGAGCGUAGGUGGUCGGGUAAGCCCCGCGGGAAAGCUCCAGGCUUAACCUGGAAAGGUCGCGGGGGACUGCGCGGCUAGAGGACGGGAGAGGAGCGCGGAAUUCCCGGUGUAGCGGCGAAAUGCGUAGAGAUCGGGAGGAAGGCCGGUGGCGAAGGCGGCGCUCUGGAACGGCCCUGACACUGAGGCUCGAAAGCGUGGGGAGCAAACAGG
rnacentral:rRNA from 1 species